rnacentral:rRNA from 1 species
GACGAACGCUGGCGGCGUGCUUAACACAUGCAAGUCGAACGGAAAGGCCCUGCUUUUGUGGGGUGCUCGAGUGGCGAACGGGUGAGUAACACGUGAGUAACCUGCCCUUGACUUUGGGAUAACUUCAGGAAACUGGGGCUAAUACCGGAUAGGAGCUCCUGCUGCAUGGUGGGGGUUGGAAAGUUUCGGCCGUUGGGGAUGGACUCGCGGCUUAUCAGCUUGUUGGUGGGGUAGUGGCUUACCAAGGCUUUGACGGGUAGCCGGCCUGAGAGGGUGACCGGCCACAUUGGGACUGAGAUACGGACCAGAAUCCUACGGGAGGCAGCAGUGGGGAGUAUUGCACAAUGGGCGGAAGCCUGAUGCAGCAACGCCGCGUGCGGGAUGCCGGCCUUCGGGUUGUAAACCGCUUUCGCCUGUGACGAAGCGUGAGUGACGGUAAUGGGUAAAGAAGCACCGGCUAACUACGUG